UGAGUAAGCCGGACAGUCGCGUGCAAUAAGCCGAAAGGCGUUGUAUGAGGAAAGUCCGGGCAUCGCAGGGCAGGGUGCCGGGUAACUCCCGGUGGAGGCGACUCUAAGGAAAGUGCAACAGAAAAAAACCGCCGUAUUAUACGGUAAGGGUGAAAAGGUGAGGUAAGAGCUCACCGUGGGGCGGGAGAUCGUCCUGACGUGUAAACCCCAUCCGAUGCAACACCGCAAAGAGGAAAACGGUUUGCCCGACCAAUCUCGAAAAGGUGGCUUGAACCGUGCAGAAAUGUACGGCUUAGAUAGAUGACUGUUCAAGACAGAACCCGGCUUACAGGCUUACUCAUGAU
rnacentral:RNase_P_RNA from 1 species